UGCCCUCGGUGCAGAUUAGAUCCAACCUGCCAAACAAAGGCUUGCGGGCCGAAUUAGUCCAAUGAAUCCAGGACCAAGAGCAUGCUCGCAGCUGAGCCCAGUCUGAUUAUAUCCAGAACCUUUCAGCUCCAUUUCGUCUGUUGACACUUGAUAGUAGGGUUUACAACGUCCUCCUCCAGGCAAUGGAGCUCGCCAACGCCCGGAGCGCACUCAAGCGCAAACGAGACGACGCCAUUGAACCCUUCGACAACGGCACCGCCGCCACCGCCACCACCGACGCCUCCUCUGUUGACCUCUCUCUCCUGGAGGCCGUAGAGAAGUCACAAACCACUGUGGAAGUUCUCGACCUCAAAACCCUAAAAAGGCUGGUCCUCGCCUUCGAGCGCCGUCUCCGUGACAAUAUCGAAGCCCGUUUGAAAUACCCGGAUCAACCCGAUAAGUUCGCUGACUCCGAAAUUGAGCUCCACGAGGAGAUCCAACGCCUUAAGACCCUCGCCGGUGGCCCUGAACUUUAUCCCGAUUUGGUAAAUCUCAACGUGAUCCCUUCUAUUCUCGGCUUGUUGUCGCACGACAACUCCGACAUCGCCGUCGACGUCGUUGGGCUCCUCCAAGACCUCACGGACGAGGACGUGUUGGAGGACAAUGACGAGCCGGCUAGGGUUUUGGUGGACGCGUUGAUUGAGAAUAAUGUCUUGGAGCUUCUGGUUCAGAAUCUGACCCGGUUGUCGGAGUUCGACCCGGAUGAGAUGGCCGCGGUCUAUGCUACCCUCGCCACCCUUGAGAAUUUGAUUGAGGUGAAGCCGGCUGUGGCGGAGAUGGUGUGCGAGAGGACUAAGCUGAUGCGGUGGCUGUUGGGAAAGAUAAAGGUGAGGGAGUUCGAUAGUAAUAAGCAGUAUGCAUCGGAGAUUUUGGCCAUUUUGUUGCAGAACAGUGCAGCAAAUCAGCGGCGGUUGGGGCAGAUGAAUGGGGUUGAUGUGGUGCUUCAGGCGGUGGCAAUGUACAAGUCACGGGACCCGAAGACGGCAGAUGAGGAGGAGAUGGUGGAGAAUUUGUUUGAUUGCUUGUGUUGCUUGUUGAUGCCGUUGGAGAAUAAAGAAAGAUUCGUCAGAGCUGAGGGGGUUGAGUUGAUGAUCAUUAUUAUGAAGCAGAAGAAGUUGGCUUAUGGCUCCGCCAUAAGAGCACUUGAUUUUGCGAUGACAAAGUAUCCACCCGCAUGCGAGCGGUUUGUGGAUGUGUUGGGUUUGAAGACUGCAUUUGCGGCUUUCAUGGGUAAGAUUCCUAUGAGCAAGAAGAAUAAGAAAGAACGCUACCAAGAAGAGUUAGAAGAGCGUAUUAUAUCAUUGAUUGCAUCAUUAUUUGGUGGAAUCUUGAGGGGUUCUAGAAGGGAUAGAUUGUUGAGUAAGUUUGUGGAAAAUGAGUGUGAAAAGAUAGACCGUCUUAUGGAACUUUACAUAAGAUAUUCGGACAGAGUUAAAGCUGAGACCGAACGGAUGAACCAACUUAAACUUGAUGAUUUAGAGAUGGAUGAAGAUGAAAGAUACAACCGACGGCUGGAGGUUGGACUUUACACUCUUCAGUUGAUUUCAAUCAUUCUGGGUCAUCUUUGGUCUUCUGAGAAUCCCCGGAUGCAAGCGAGAAUUGAACUACUACUCAACCAGCAAAGAAUUACCAAAGAGGACAUCAAAGAUAUACUUCAGGAAUAUCAUGACAACAUUGGAGAUGUUGAUGGACAGGAGGAAAAGGAGCGUGCACAGGCAAAGAUCCAAAAGUUCAUCUCAGCCUUUUGAUCAAUUGAAUGAUUCGUCGGCAGUUCAAACCUUUAAAGGAGGUUUUUGGUCCAGGCAGGGAAGGAAGAAUAUUGUUGGCUUGUUGAUACAACUCAUGGAGGUGAGAAAAGCUUCCAAGGAAACCCAAAAUAGUAGAUUGCAGGAGCAGAGUAUCUUCGGGCGAGGGGAGUUUGGGGGUGGGCUUGCGUGGCCGCUGUAGGCGGUGGUACCACCAUGCAGAAACUGCUGGACAUCGGCUGGACGUGGGGGACAGCACGUGGUGAAUGUCUAUGGCAAACACGGGGUUUGGUGCGGGGCAGUGAAGGGAUGGCUUCGGGCUGAAGUUCAGUUGGUUUUGGCCCUUCUGGGUUUUCUUAAAAUUGUUUUAAUUUUUCAAAUUUUAUUUUCAGUCCUAAGCGCAUAUACAGGUGGAGUGGUGAGGUGGCAACAGGGUACGUGGCAUGUCUUAUGUGUUGUUGGCCUAUGUCACACUGAAUGGGUUGGGCGUCUAUGUGGCAAAUAUUAUUUCUCUGGUUUUUUCACAAUCCGGAUAUGGUUGCAUAGUUCCCCUUCAAUUUUAACUUGUCAUGACUUAAUCAAUAAGAGCGCAAAUCGGACAGGUUUGAUUGA